ensembl:lncRNA
CCAAAUUCAAGGAGGCGCCAGUAAACUAAUGAAGAAUGUUACUGAUCUGUUCUAGCCACACGAAAUCAAGAUUUCAUCUAGUACAAAUCACACAGGGUGAAGCACAGUCAACAUUUUGUUUGGAGUCCUCAGACUGUUCCUGGGUGUCAGUGACUCACCAGGAUAAGUUCAGUGCCUUGGCUUACUCCUAGGAUGCACUAUGCCAAUACAUGAAACAGUGAAGUCAGAGGAUUUUGUGUCUUCAAGGUGCCCAGACACCCCUGAAAAUGAGGCUGCAUUUAUCUACGUAGGUGGAUAUGAAUCUACGCAGACCUCAUUUUCUGAGUCUGAAGAAACACAUCCCAACCAUCAGAACCAGCUCCAACAACAGCCCAGCCACAGGCUCUUUUCACAGCUGCCCUCUUUUUUCACCUAAUGACAUAAAGUGCUUGGUCAGCUCUGGCUGUUCUGUAGGACUGAAGCAAGGCUUGGAUAUAAAUUGAUUCAGGGAAUGGAACACCUCUCCUAUGAGGACAGGCUGAGAGAGCUGGGGCUGUUCAGCCUGGAGAAGAGGAGGCUGCAAUGUGACGUGGUUGAUGCCCCAUUCCUGGAGACCUUCCAGGAGAGGCUGGAUCAGGCCCUGGACAACCUAAUCUAGCUGUGGUGUCCCUGUUCAUUGCAGGGGAGUUGGACUAGAUGGCUUUCAGAGGCCCUUCAACUCUAAGGAUUCUGUGAUUCUAUGAUUCUAUACAUGCUUUCAGCUACCAGACAUGGUGUUAAAACAACUGAAAAAAUGAUGGAGUCUUCUUCUACAGUAAAGACUGACACUGUGAAACAGUAAAAAUUGUUUCACACUUAUCUGUCCUAAUGGAUACAUAGCUGAACUAAACAUACUAUGACUACUAUGACUACUAAACAAACUAUGAAGUGACUUUUUCUUUCCUAUUUAAAAGGGAAAUAUUCAGAGUUGUCAGAACUCACUGGCACGGGGGACAUGCCAGCUAUUAGAGAUAAAAGACUUGAUUAAGGGAUAAAAAGCAAUGGGGUAAGUCCAUGAAACUAUUCUGCUGAAAAUUUUAUUGGACAUUUGUAAAUUCAGGAGAGCUUUGGAGUGGUGGAAAUGCUGGCAGUGGUUGUGUUUUAGAGCCAGAUCAUACCAGGAUAUUGGGUAGUGUUUAAGGAAAAGAACUGGGUCAGUUGUUAACCCUACAGAAAGAUCCAUGUAAGGUUAGGAGCUGGAAUAAAUGUGUGGAAAACUAUUAUCCAAUUACUUGUUCUCCCAGGCAACAGUGAGGAAAUCCUGCAAAAUUUCCCUCUUAUGUACUGAAGCCAUAGAGUCUGUGUCAACUCUAGAAUUGCAUGCAGUACGUGUGAUACUGACAUUUAUUUACUUGCUCUUAGCCAAAUCCCUCACAUUGACAACAAUAGGAUCUAUUUAUACAAUUUAGAAAUCUUUGCAUGAAGACACCCAAGAGACCAACUGAAACCGUUUGAAAAGUAUAGCUCUCUCUCUCUCUCUCUCUAUAUAUAUAUAGUUUCAAUAACCAAAACUGGCCUUGGUUGAUUAAAAACAAUUAGAUUGUGCAAUCAUUUGGCUUGGUUGCUUUUGAAAUACAAGAUGCUGAACUACAUGAUGGGCAGAAUUAUUCUAAGCACUAAUUUGUCAAAUCAAGGGAUAUCUUUUGCUGUUACAAGAGCACCUUCUACUGCCUGGGUAAUAGCACUGUGUUAGGAAUGCUCAAUCUUACAAAGACCAAUCUAUUAGAACACUCAGUCUCAGUAGAGCCUUCCUAAGACAUUUUGAGGAAUGAUCUCAUGUACUGUGUGACAAAGGAAAUUAUAUAGACUUCAGACUAAAAUUUGUACUUUUGGAAAUAAAGACUCUUAGAGUUUCAAUUGAAAAUCUCAGUAGGUUUUCACACUAUAGUCUGAUCCAUAUGGAUGCUUUUUCCCAUUUUGAAUACUUAUGUUGAAUUUCUUGGUACUGUUUCAGCUCAUGAAGUAUGGCUAUUUGUCCUAUUUCCAACUUGCUGGGGUGGAGAAUCACAUAGCUCACAAACCACCUAUUAAUAAAACAGCAUUUUUAAUUGCAAUAUGUUUCCAGUAUUUACACAUAUGAAUUUUAUGUUCCCAAGGAAUAACAGUGUCUUGUCAAACUGCGCACUAAAUGUUGUUUAUAACCAUCAGAUAAACUUUGCCAUUACAGAUUCAUCAGCCAGGGAAUACUGGAGCUUUUUCUCAUUUUCUUCUCUUUUUUUUCAGUCUUUUUUUUUUUCCUAGGGGAAAAAUAACCAUUCAAAAACUGUAUGUUAACUACUAUACUAAACAACUGAAUUGCAGUAUGACACCAGAAAGAAAUUCAGACCCUUAUAAGCCUCAUGGACACUAAAAGCGAUGAUCCAGCAAUUUCACGCAAAAUAAUAGUCAACAGAAAUCAUCCAUUUUAUCACCCGGUGACAAUCUUUUGUGUUCUGCAAAAGAUUUCUGCACACCAUGCUACCUCCAGCCCUUCCAUGAAUUUGUUACCUGUUUUUCCAGUAACAUCAGGUGCAAUUGCCACUAAAAAGUGUACUGUAGGCACUUGUGCUGACAAAUGGCGCCCUCACUGUUCCUCCAGUUGCCAGGUGAUCAUCAUUAGGUAAAAGAGAGGCUGUAUCCUCUUUAAAAUCUCUUCACAUUUUCUACUUCACCUCCCAACUCCAAUCUCAUUCUGAUGUAUUUCCAUUCCUCCACUUAACAUUCCCUCUGCAAUUUUGCACACAAAAUAGUUUUCCCUAGCUACAGCCACAGGGCACUCAUAAUCAAUUUCUUCAGUGUUCCUUCCCUCACCCAUGCAAGAGACCUCUUCUCAGGUAAGACUGGUUUCAUCCCCCAGGAUGACUUUCUAAGUCUGUGUCUUUAUGGAUCUUCUCAUAGUUAUACUUCCAGAUAUAGCAAAUAAUACUAUUUGAGACACUGAAUUCAAAACAUUUCUCAAUUUCAACACUAAAUUUCAGAAGUCCCCACUUUAGACAACCUAUGCUUCUUUUAAGGAUAGUGUUAAGGAAUAUUGAAAAACCUCAUCCAGAACUGUUCCAAACGGUUCCUAAUUCAAAACUGCUUUGCAAAAAACAGCAUACAUGAAAACCUUAAUACUAGCAUACGUGGCCACCAGCAAAUACAGAGAAAAGAGAUUUUUGAUCUCCUUAAUACCAAGUUGGGACUGGCAAUGCAGUAAUACCACAUGACUCUAGUUUUAUUCUGUCAUCUUUGAGGUUAAGGCUCUCAGGAGCUGUUCCACUAAUAUUGUCUUUAAUGAUGUGUAUAACCAUUUAGAGAUAUUGAAGCAUUCAAUUAGGAUGCAAUAAGAUAGCGUUGUGUAUACGUUACUGCUGUUGCUGCACAACAUUGACCCAGAGUACCUAAGCACUAAAUGAGAAGACUGAUGAGGUAUUUUUCAGAGAUGAAUAUUCAGCAGAAAUCUUAGCACCUCAUUUUUGCAUAAUAUUUUCCCUGAUCAAAAUUCAUCCCAGUUUAGCUUUUCUCCCUUUCCUAAGAGUGUCUGGAUAAUGUCAAAUGAUUGCAGUUAGGCUAAUUCUGCUCUUGUAUGAGGGAAUUCAUUUUGACAUCAUGAUAGACUUGGCAUCAUUUUUGGGUACAUACCAGUGGGGACAGGUGGAAUUUCAAUAAUAACUCUUGUCUCCUUGGUUCUGUUAUAAAUCCAACCGGUGGAAUCCAAGAAGAUUAAACGAAAGUGGGCUGAGGUAAAUUGUAUUUUAUAGAGAUUCAACUUUUUUUUAUUAUGUACCUUAAGUCUUAUAGGCAACAUUGGUUUUCCCACUUUUUUAUAUCAUACAGAACAGUGAUAAGUUUUUCUAACACCUGAUUUUAUGCCACUCUGUCAAAAUUAUUUUUUGAGGGUCUGGAUAUAACAAGAAUUUUAGUAGU